ACAUGCAAGUCGUACGCUAGCCGCUGAAUUGAUCCUUCGGGUGAAGUGAGGCAAUGACUAGAGUGGCGAACUGGUGAGUAACACGUAAGAAACCUGCCCUUUAGUGGGGGAUAACAUUUGGAAACAGAUGCUAAUACCGCGUAACAACAAAUCACACAUGUGAUCUGUUUGAAAGGUCCUUUUGGAUCGCUAGAGGAUGGUCUUGCGGCGUAUUAGCUUGUUGGUAGGGUAGAAGCCUACCAAGGCAAUGAUGCGUAGCCGAGUUGAGAGACUGGCCGGCCACAUUGGGACUGAGACACUGCCCAAACUCCUACGGGAGGCUGCAGUAGGGAAUUUUCCGCAAUGCACGAAAGUGUGACGGAGCGACGCCGCGUGUGUGAUGAAGGCUUUCGGGUCGUAAAGCACUGUUGUAAGGGAAGAAUAACUGAAUUCAGAGAAAGUUUUCAGCUUGACGGUACCUUACCAGAAAGGGAUGGCUAAAUACGUGCCAGCAGCCGCGGUAAUACGUAUGUCCCGAGCGUUAUCCGGAUUUAUUGGGCGUAAAGCGAGCGCAGACGGUUUAUUAAGUCUGAUGUGAAAUCCCGAGGCCCAACCUCGGAACUGCAUUGGAAACUGA
rnacentral:rRNA from 1 species